rnacentral:rRNA from 1 species
UAGCGUGCAGGAUGACGGCCCUAUGGGUUGUAAACUGCUUUUAUAUGGGGAUAAAGUGGGGAACGUGUUCCCUUUUGCAGGUACCAUAUGAAUAAGGACCGGCUAAUUCCGUGCCAGCAGCCGCGGUAAUACGGAAGGUUCGGGCGUUAUCCGGAUUUAUUGGGUUUAAAGGGAGCGUAGGCCGUUUGGUAAGCGUGUUGUGAAAUGUAGGAGCUCAACUUCUAGAUUGCAGCGCGAACUGUCAGACUUGAGUGCGCACAACGUAGGCGGAAUUCAUGGU